rnacentral:lncRNA from 1 species
UUUAUCUUUUGAGUUUUUCUUCUUUUUAAGCGAAAGGUUGAUAUAUGUCAAAAUUUGAAAGUCAUUAUUCGUCUGAAGUUGCAAGGGACAAGAUGAUUCAUGAAAUUCGAGUCUUUGUAUUUCACAAGAUAUUAAUAUCAGGGGAGUUUUUGACUAUGAAGUCGCACUCAUUCAUUUUUUUUAUUGUUUUACAUGAUGGCCCUACUUUCACACAUUUCUCAUAUUUUUGCAGGAAAAUCAUCCCCGACGACAUGAACUACGCACACCUGAUUCUCAUCUUGAUGAGAUACGUAGGCAGCCUUUCUUGGGUUCGGUAUUCUUUCUUUUAAAUUCGAAAAAAAUAAAUAUAAAUCAAAUAGUUUAUGCAUAUUUUCAAAGACAUAUGUGCAUGAACUACGCACACCUGAUUCUCAUUUUGAUGAGAUACGUAGGCAACCCUUCUUGGGUUCGAUAUUUAUUCAUUCUUUAAAAAAAA